CAGUGCUGUGGGUGUGCCUGCCCUGCUGACACGCCUUAGAUCCAUCCCAGUCCCUUCCAUUUCAGUUCCAGCACAAGGAGGAAAUCCCACAAUAUAUGCAGCAUUCUUGCCUUUGCUUGUGCUUUGAGAUGCAGCGAGUUUCCUGGACCAUGGUGAGAGAAAAUCCUGUGCUGAAGGUGUGAGCCAGCAAUGGAUCAGUAAAUAGCUGCUCCUCUGAAGAUCAGCUCAUUAAGAAGCAGCCAUCUGAAUGAAAUAAGGUCCUGGGGAGUCUGUGCCACCACACAUGCCAAAAAGAGAGGCAUGAAACCUCAUUACGUGCCAUGACCAAGCCAGAGGAAUUUCUACCUAGGCAGGAUCUGUGGUUAAUAUUCUGCUCUUGUGCUUUGCCCACUGAAGCCCCGGAGUGCUUUUGUUUAUGGUGUGGUUCUCGUUCAGCACAUUUCCAUGUGAGUAACUGCAAGUGGCUCUGUCGCCCCGGGCACAGAACGCAGCCCAGCUGAAAUGCCAGAGGCUGCAGCUUUCUUUGUGAUGGGAAGAAAACCAAAGGGAAAAAAAAAAUCACAACUGUUUUUUUCUUUUUUUUUUUCCUGUGACAAAAGCCUCAACAAUAGUUUCCUUAUUCAAUAGAAUGGUGUUGCAUGGAUAUAUUACAGCUGGUCAAAAGACUCCAAGAUUAUUUAGCUUUUAAUUAGCUUUUCUGUACUGUUAAUUCUGUUAGCCAUAAAUAGCUAAAUGACACAGUAUUUGUGGAACUUAGCAAUAGCCAGCAAUAUUCACAGCUUAAUUAAAUAAUUCACAUGCCAAUCUCCAGUCAUGAUGCAAAAAGACCAAAAGACAAAUUAAAUAAUCACAGCUUCCUUGGCCAAUUUCUUGGAAAAGAGAAGCAGGGCCUGUUGAGACAUAUGGCAAACAAUGUUUUCUGUGAAACAGCAAACUAAAAGACAUCGCUACUCCCACGUGGUAGGAGGCACAAUGCCUUUCCAAAUCCCACUCUCACCAUGAACAGCUCAGUGUAACUGAGCACUUGCACCAGUGUUUGAACAGGGAAUUCACCUGCCAUGAACUGAAAGGAAAGGGAGGAAGGCAGGAGAGGGGAUGAAAAAUCGCAAAUUCAAAUCGCAAUUUCCCAAGCAAUAUUUUUAAUUGUUUGGAAAUUUGUGAAACGUGACAAAUAAAGUGAUUGAGAAUGCCCACUGCACUGAGAUCUGUCUCUGCCAACACGCUGGAAUUAACUUCAGUUUAAUUAGGCACCCAUGCCAGCAGGAGUGAGGUGUGAAGACAGAGAUUCAGUUGCUAUAAAUCUGCCAGGAUUUGGGGUUUUUUUCCUUACAUCAUGAUUUCAUUAUCUAAUCACCCUGUUGUGAUACACACACACUGCAUGCAAAAAAAUAUAUGCAGCACAAAAACCCAAAAGGUCAUUAUAUAUUGCUUGACAUUGUCUUCAGCAGACAUUAUCCCCCAAGAGAACAACUUCAAAUAACAAUAGUUUUCUCUUGGCCAGGUUCUCUGCCACAGGGAUGUUAUUUAUCCUGGUGUCACACACACAAACAGCCUCGUGUGGGGAAAUCCAUCGGUGGCAGCACAGUGAUAAGUGUGUCAUUUAUUCGUCUUUUUCUAUUGCAUACUUGAAGAAGUUAAACCCAAACAAAACUGCCAAGAUAUGAUAUUCCUUGAGAGGAGGAACAUGGUUUAUGUGUCUCAGCUUUGCCAAAAAGCUCUGGACACCAAUGCUUCAGUUUGUGAAUAAAGAUGUACACAAACACUGCCUCAAGCAGGGCAAAGACCACCCUUGGGCAGAAGCAUUUUGGAGCUGCAGUGGUGAAAGGAUGGGGGGGUGUGCUUUGUUUUGCAGAACAUUUGGGUGUGUGUUACAGGCCUGUCUAAACAGAAUUGGUGUGUCUGAUGGCUGAUCCAAUGUUCCAAGGAGGUCCUCUAUUCAGAACUUGUUUUCCUUCCCACUUACCCUACUUUGUGUAUUGUGCUAGAUUAGACUGGUUUCGUAAACUGCAGUUACUGUCCAUCUGGAUAUGUUUUGAGGCUCUAUAAACUUUUAACAACUGUGAAGGGGGAAAAUACUGAAGUAUGCAGCCAGUCUGAAGUGGUUAUCUUGGGCUUUAACCUACUGUUGCCAGGAAGGCACAAAACACCCUUCACAGGCCAUGUAAAACUUACUUCAUUUGUACCUUACUAACACAGCAAAAGGCAUUCUCUUAUAAGAGAUUAUCUCUUUGUUUACAUAAUCUCUUCAUGAAUGAAAACUGUUGUGAUAUUAAAAUCACACUGACAUGUCCCUACACAUUCAAUAAUGAUUCAGGACACAUAUAACUGAAAAAGAUACUUGGUUAAUGCUUGCACCUGUCCUACAGCUUGCUAUUAAACAAGGAGAUUUUAUGCUUUUCUAUAUUUUUUAGUAAAAAGAUUUAUUUUCAUGCUAUUUAUUAUGGAAUGCCAAUCAGUUUUCAAAACAUUUGUGUGUGCUUGUCAUGUUUUUUCCAUGUUUAAAAAGCCUUAUUUUCCAUGUUAUCCCAGACUACACUCCCUGGCCAUCUUUACCUCCUCACUCUGUGAUGGCAGAUGAUGACACACAUCUGGCUGGGAACAAACACAGAUCUGCUCAGGGACACACCCUGAGUCUGUGCAGGCCUUUCAAGGCCAGGAAAGUUUGGACUGGUCAUCCUUAAGUGCUGACACAGGCAGGUGCUUGUGUCAGGCUCAAAGGGGCUUUGGGACCGUGUCUCUCUAAGCCACCACCUGCAUGCCAUGGGAUGAGGCACAGCUGAUUUCCUUCAAGAAAGACCAAACUGUCUUGUUCUGAUCUAUGGGGCA